AAAAGCAUGGGAUAUAUCCAUGUUGAAGCCAGUAGAUAGAAAACGUAGAAAGACGAAGGAAUAACGCGACGGAAUUAAUUUUCGGUUUUGUGAUAUCGUGUAAUAAUAAAGUAUCGUUUAAAGAUAAGUUUGUUAAGUUUAAGGAUUUAUUUAAAUCUUCGAGGCCUUUGAAAAAUAAUCCUUCCUUUAAUAAUCGAUCUGAUCGCUUUCGAAGAAAGAACUUUUAACGCGAACAAUAUACCGUGAUUGAUAAUAAUAGAAUUAAUCUGGUCUUGCUCGUUAAUUAUUUUACCUUUCCAUCUUUUUUUCUCUUUUUAUAUAUUUGUUUCUUUGAUCUUUUCUUUUUUUCUCUUUUUUUAUUCACCAAUUUAAGAACUACGAAUUAUCCUUACCGAGAGAGAAGGAACGAUUAAUCUCGCUCUCUCUCUCUCUCUCUCUCUCUUUUUAUCGAAAGAUUAUCGUUAUUUACGUUUUUUUUUUUUAGAAGAAAGAAAGAAAAAGAAAAAGAAAAAAAAAAAAAGAAAGAAAGAAAUCAAACGUAAUAACGAAAUACUUAAGAUAAUUCUUAAUAAUAACAAAUUAAAACGGAUAUAAGACCAUAAAGAAAAAGAUGAAUUAUCAAAAAUGGAUUCUAACGUUGAAAUGUUUUUUAUUGAUUUACAUUGUAUACGUCGUAAGAGCAGACGAUCGAUUAAAAGAGAAGAAGAAUAUGAUUAAUAAGCUCGAUGAUAAAAAUGAUUUUGUUCCAUUUAAUCGAGAUACAGUGAUAGAUACGAGAAAUGACUUAAUAAUACGGGCACCUGUAAGAAGAAGAAUCAUUUGUGAAUAUGAUAGAAGACCGGACGCUUUUGGAAGAUGUAGGAAGAAGUUGUAAAUGAACAUUAUGAUCGAACGAUCAUUACAAGCCGAUGGGAAAAGGACGUAAACAUAAGAAAUAAAGAUAAGAAAGAAAUUUGCAAAAAAGAAAAAAAGAAAAAAAGAAAAAAAAAAAAAGAAAGAAAGAAAAAGAAAAAAGAAGAGAAAAAAUUGUUUCAUCGUCUCAACUCAGAUCGAGUUAAUAUCCUUAAGUACGGUGUGAAAGAGGAUAACAAUAAUUACAAGAGAGAAAGCUAUAAAAAGGAAAACAAAAAAAAAAGAAAAAAAAAAGAAAAAAGAAUAAGAAAAAGAGAAAGGCAUGAUACCCUUUCGUUUUUUUCUAAUCGUCAUUCUUCUGUCAUUGACGUUUCGGCUUGGAACCGAGGCCUUCUCGUGGAUCAUUCCGAUCAAUAAAAGAAUCAAAAGUCAUUCUCGAUGUCCGGACGGAUAUAAAAUGAAUGUUCGAGGGAAAUGUCGGCGCGUUUUAUAUAAAUAUUAAGGUUUAAGAAAGUACGAGAUGGUACCAAUCGGAGUUUGAAAAUCAUAGAAGGGAAACGUGCAACAUUAGAAGCACGUUAUUUUAUCUCUUAUUCAUUUAAUAAUGUAUCCAUCGUAUCAAAAUGAUCGACCUGAAUGAUCGCCGACAAAAAGUUGGUGUCAAUUUUUCUUCAUUGGAAAUCGACUUUGUUGAAGAAGAAGAAAAAGAAGAAGAAGAAGAAGAGGAAGAAGAGAAAGAGAAGGAGAAGGAAGAGGAGAUAGGAGAAGGAGGAGGAGGAGGAGGAGGAGGAGGAGAAGAAGAUUGGAACGUCAAAAUGUUUUUAUGAUAUAUAAUAAGUAUGUACGUAACAUGGCCUCCCUUUUCGCUCAGAUAUAAGUAUUCAUAGAAUAAAUAGAAACUCGUAUCGUUCUUUAAAAAGUCAUCGAAAUUGGAUUGCGUCUUUUAUAAAAAAAAAAAAAGGGGGGGGGGGAGGAAAAAAAGAUAAAUAAGAAGAAGAAGAAGAAGAAAAAGAAGAAAAUAGAAUAAAAGAGAUGAUCGUGUUGGAUUGUCCAUGACGAUGUAAAUUCUCCGAGAGGAGAUAAAUCGUGCACUUUUGACCUUUGUGAGAGCGAUACGCUUUGCCAAGAGGUCGGUCAAAACUCGAAAGAGAGAGAGACAGAGACGAGAAGAGACAGAGAAAGAGAGAAAGAAAGAAAAAAAAGAAAAAAAAGAAAGAAAGGAGAGAAAGAAAGAAUAGAGAAGAGAAAGAGAGAGAGAGAGAGAGAGAGAGAUACGUACGUACGGAGAAGCCAGUAGAAGAGUUUCGAUCGUACUCUUUCGCUUCUCGAGUGCGAGCUCUCUCCUCAGUAUCUUUGUUCGAGUCUGUCGUGAAUGAGAUCCGGUACUCGAGUUAGAAGCGCGUUUAUUACGUAGUGUAGACGAUAAAGGUUGAACGAAUUCUUGGGGAAGCUGUUAAGAAUUCGAGAAAUUUCAAAUAUCUCCAUGUAGAAAUCCGACGAAGGU